AACGAACGCUGGCGGCAGGCUUAACACAUGCAAGUCGAGCGCAUCCUUCGGGGUGAGCGGCGGACGGGUGAGUAACGCGUGGGAACGUGCCCUCUUCUACGGAAUAGCCUUGGGAAACUGAGAGUAAUGCCGUAUACGCCCGCAAGGGGAAAGAUUUAUCGGAGGAGGAUCGGCCCGCGUUGGAUUAGGUAGUUGGUGGGGUAACGGCCUACCAAGCCGACGAUCCAUAGCUGGUUGGAGAGGAUGAUCAGCCACACUGGGACUGGGACACGGCCCAGACUCCUACGGGAGGCAGCAGUGGGGAAUCUUGGACAAUGGGGGCAACCCUGAUCCAGCCAUGCCGCGUGAUCGAUGAAGGCCUUAGGGUUGUAAAGAUCUUUCAGCUGGGAAGAUAAUGACGGUACCAGCAGAAGAAGCCCCGGCUAACUCCGUG
rnacentral:rRNA from 1 species